GUGCCAGCAGCCGCGGUAAUACGGAGGAUCCGAGCGUUAUCCGGAAUUACUGGGCGUAAAGAGUUGCGUAGGUGGCAUUGUAUGUCGGUAGUGAAAGCGUGUGGCUCAACCAUAUAUCCAUUAUCGAAACUGCAGGGCUAGAGGACGAGAGAGGUUACUGGAAUUCCUAGUGUAGGGGUAAAAUCCGUUGAUAUUAGGAAGAACACCGAUGGCGUAGGCAGGUAACUGGCUCGUUCCUGACACUAAGGCACGAAAGCGUGGGUAGCAAACAGGAUUAGAUACCCUGGUAGUCC
rnacentral:rRNA from 1 species